GAUGAAGAACGUAGCGAAAUGCGAUAAGUAAUGUGAAUUGCAGAAUUCAGUGAAUCAUCGAAUCUUUGAACGCACAUUGCGCCCCUUGGUAUUCCGAGGGGCAUGCCCGUUCGAGCGUCAUUAUACCCCUCAAGCCUAGCUUGGUGUUGGGGCCUGCUGUUACCGGCAGCCCUUAAAAUCAGUGGCGGUGCCAUGUGGCUCUAAGCGUAGUAAUACUUCUCGCUACAGGGUCCCGGUGGAUGCUUGCCAUCAACCCCUAAUUUUCUAUGGUUGACCUCGGAUCGGGUAGGGAUACCCGCUGAACUUAAGCAUAUCAAUAAGCGGAGGA
rnacentral:misc_RNA from 1 species